rnacentral:rRNA from 1 species
UACGGGGGGGGCAAGCGUUGUUCGGAAUUACUGGGCGUAAAGGGCGCGUAGGUGGCGCGAGUAGUCAACGGUGAAAGCCCGGGGCUCAACCCCGGGUCGGCCGUCGAUACUCUCGUGCUUGAGCAUUGUAGAGGCAGAUGGAAUUCCGGGUGUAGCGGUGGAAUGCGUAGAGAUCCGGAAGAACACCGGUGGCGAAGGCGGUUCUCUGGGGCAUUACCUGACGCUGAGGAG